GACCCGAUAGCUCAGUGGUAGAGCGUCACUCCCGAGAUGUGGAGGUCCUUGGUUCAAACCCAGGUCGAGUCA
rnacentral:tRNA from 1 species